GUGCUAGCAGCCGCGGUAAUACAGAGGUCUCAAGCGUUGUUCGGAUUCAUUGGGCGUAAAGGGUGCGUAGGUGGCGGGGUAAGUCAGGUGUGAAAUUUCGGAGCUUAACUCCGAAACUGCAUUUGAUACUGCCUUGCUUGAGGACUGGAGAGGAGACUGGAAUUCACGGUGUAGCAGUGAAAUGCGUAGAGAUCGUGAGGAAGACCAGUGGCGAAGGCGGCUCUCUGGAACGCAACUGACGCUGAGACGCGAAAGCGUGGGGAGCAAACAGGAUUAGAAACCCGUGUAGUCC
rnacentral:rRNA from 1 species